CUAAACAAUGAUACGUUCUACUGCGGCUGAGUCGAUGCUACGAUACCGAAUUGUCUCGUUUCAAGGGCUCGAUCGUGGCGAGAUAACGCGAGAAUUGUGUUUACAAUUUACACCGACAGGUUCGCGCACAUCUUGACAUCAGAGAUACGAUCGUGGUUGACGAGUGACAGAAGCUUCGAGACGGUGAAACGUGUUUGGCUCGUGUAUUCCGUUUCCUACGUAAAAUUGUGGUGGAUGAACGUUUUAAGGACGUUCAUACAACGUGUGCAGUGGUGUUGUCCCAUGGGAAGAGGGAGAGAAGGAGGAGGAAGUUGAGAGAAAAAAAGCUUUGAUUCGAGAGCGUGGAAAUAUAUAAUAUCGGUGGUGGACGAAACGCGUGAUCGUGGAAAGAGAGUGACUCGUGAGAGGGGGGAGGGAGGAUGUGGGUUUUCCACCCCCAUCGUUUCCACCACCACAACGCCACCGACCCAGUCCCUGUCUCGGAUAUAAAGUGGUCGCGUGCUUGCAAGCUCAGUCACUCUGUCGCUGAAGCACCGAUCCUCGCAAGCUCGCCCAAAAAACCAUCGACCAAUCAACACUCAACGAGCCAAUCAACGACCGACAACCACCGAGUCGCGUCUCCAUUUACCGAACGGCUA